rnacentral:rRNA from 1 species
CCUUUAUGGAGAGUUUGAUCCUGGCUCAGGACGAACGCUGGCGGCGUGCUUAACACAUGCAAGUCGAGCGGUAAGGCCCUUCGGGGUACACGAGCGGCGAACGGGUGAGUAACACGUGAGCAACCUGCCCCUGACUCUGGGAUAAGCGGUGGAAACGCCGUCUAAUACCGGAUACGACUCGCCACCUCAUGGUGGAGGGUGGAAAGUUUUUCGGUCAGGGAUGGGCUCGCGGCCUAUCAGCUUGUUGGUGGGGUAACGGCCUACCAAGGCGAUUACGGGUAGCCGGCCUGAGAGGGCGACCGGCCACACUGGGACUGAGACACGGCCCAGACUCCUGCGGGAGGCAGCAGUGGGGAAUAUUGCGCAAUGGGCGAAAGCCUGACGCAGCGACGCCGCGUG